GGGAGCCCUUCCCGAGCGCCGCCCGCCCCCGCCCGGUCCCCGUAGCGGCCGGGCCGAGGGGGGCGAGCGGCCCCGGCGGGAGGCGGACGGGGAGCCACUUACUGCGCCGCUGCCCCGCGGGGGGACUUCGCCUCUUCCCGGCUCUUCCCGGCUCGACAGGGGACCCAGCUCCUGCGAUCGCGGCCGCGGCGAGUCGGGACGGCGCAGGGCUCCUCGCAGAUGAAGCCCUUUUUAUCCCAUGGAAAAUGUGUGGUCAGGAAGGAGACGAUAUAUCUGUGGAAACUUGUCCAUGAAGAGGUGGAGCCAUAUAAAUUUCUACAAGUGCUGACUAUUUUCUGAAGUGAAUUUGGAGGAUGUUCCUGAGUGUUCCUAACCCAUAUGGCCUGGGUAUUUUUGCCAUCUACUGUAUAUUGGAUUUUUCUCCUCGGUCAGGUCCUGUACCAAAGCGUUGUGCAAACUUGUGGAUAUGACUUCAGGAAGUUCAAUUGUAAAGAUCACAUCUUUAAUCAUAUUCAAGUGCCCCAACUUCAAGAGCAGUAUUAUGGCUGCGUCUCGGUCUGGGGAGAGACCUGGAUCUAUAGCAAAUGGAUUCACAUGUAUGUCAGAGAGAAGAGGGACACUGAGUGUCAUAAAUACUAAUUGAUAGAAGAGUAAAAUGGUGCUUUGGAAUAAAUCGUCAAAUGCCUACAUUGAUAACAGUGGUUCUGGGCCUGAAAGAGAAGGAGACGAGAUGCUUGUGUGCUGUUAAAAUUGAAGCCCUGUUAAAUGGAGUUGCAUAUACUGACAAGUUCUCUUUUGUUUCAAAUCCUCUGGAUGUACAGUUUCUCUCCCGUCAAUG
rnacentral:lncRNA from 1 species